rnacentral:rRNA from 1 species
CCGGGUUGCGGACAGUGUCUGGUGGGUAGUUUGACUGGGGCGGUCUCCUCCUAAAGAGUAACGGAGGAGCACGAAGGUUGGCUAAUCCUGGUCGGACAUCAGGAGGUUAGUGCAAUGGCAUAAGCCAGCUUGACUGCGAGCGUGACGGCGCGAGCAGGUGCGAAAGCAGGUCAUAGUGAUCCGGUGGUUCUGAAUGGAAGGGCCAUCGCUCAACGGAUAAAAGGUACUCCGGGGAUAACAGGCUGAUACCGCCCAAGAGUUCAUAUCGACGGCGGUGUUUGGCACCUCGAUGUCGGCUCAUCACAUCCUGGGGCUGAAGUAGGUCCCAAGGGUAUGGCUGUUCGCCAUUUAAAGUGGUACGCGAGCUGGGUUUAGAACGUCGUGAGACAGUUCGGUCCCUAUCUGCCGUGGGCGCUGGAGAACUGAGGGGGGCUGCUCCUAGUACGAGAGGACCGGAGUGGACGCAUCACUGGUGUUCGGGUUGUCAUGCCAAUGGCACUGCCCGGUAGCUAAAUGCGGAAGAGAUAAGUGCUGAAAGCAUCUAAGCACGAAACUUGCCCCGAGAUGAGUUCUCCCUGAGACUUAAAGUCUCCUGAAGGAACGUUGAAGACGACGACGUUGAUAGGCCGGGUGUGUAAGCGCAGCGAUGCGUUGAGCUAACCGGUACUAAUGAACCGUGAGGCUUAACC